CACAGAGUGGGCCUGUUGUUCUCAUUUGAGACUGAGUCCAUUCUUUCCUCUUCCAUGAAGACUUUUCCCCAACAGUUAAAUAUUUCAGUUUCACCUGUUGUUGUUUCACAGCUCAACAUGAAACAUCAGAUAUCCCUCUUUGUCCCCCUGAGGAUAUUAGCUAGGUAGAUUCUUAACAUGUCCUGCUCCAAUUCUAAUAUUAGCUCUGCUGCCCUGGCGGCAGCUUCUCUCCUGUUGCAGUGUUUCCCUGCAACGGUGCCGGCUUUCCUUGGAGUUUGGUGACGAUUGAUAUGGAUGUGGCUUUGUGGUUGGCUGCCUGCCCAGCUCCCAGGGGCGAGGGGCUCCUCCUGCCCCAGCCCUGCCUGUCAGUGCCCCCGCCUGUGGCCCCACCGACCGUCCCAUCCACCCCAUCUGUCCACAUGGAGUUCACACGUGUCUGAGCCCUUCUUGUUCUUCAGGAACCUAAAGUGGAAGUUCGGAUAAUUAAUUCAAGACUCCAUGAAGUGUACAGGCGAAGAUCAUCUCUUUCCGGCCCUGCUGCGGACACUAGUGCAGUGAGCAGAUGCCUUCUCAGUUCCGCAGCCGCCCUCUGAGCCGUCUGAUUCCUCCACGUGGACCUGGGUUUCCACACAAGCAACGAGGAAGGCAGAGCCACACACACUGCGGAUAAAAAGGUACAAGCGAUCCUUCCACGUCAGCCUCCUGCAGCCCCCGCCUUCCAGGUGCUAUUGAUCCUCCCACCUCAACCUCCUGCAACCUCUGCCUCCUGGGUGCAAUUGGUCCUCCCACCUCAGCCUCCUGCAACCCCCACCUCCUGGGUGCUAUUGAUCCUCCCACCUCAGCCUCCUGAGUAGUUGGGACUACAAGUGCACACUACCACACUAUACUAGUCUGUUCUCACACUGCUAAUAAAGAAAUACAUACCCAAGCCUG
rnacentral:lncRNA from 10 species